AUGUUUAUCCAUCCCCACCACCACCACCUCCAUAUGUUUAUAAGUCACCUCCACCUCCACCUUACGUUUAUUCAUCUCCACCACCACCUCCUUAUGUCUACAAGUCCCCACCACCUCCGCCAUAUGUUUAUCCAUCCCCACCACCACCACCUCCAUAUGUUUAUAAGUCACCUCCACCUCCACCAUAUGUUUAUGCAUCUCCACCACCACCUCCAUAUGUUUAUAAACCUCCAUAUUAUUACACAUCUCCACCACCACCCUAUGUCUACAAGUCACCACCACCACCUCCUUCGUAUGACUACAAGUCCCCACCCCCACCUCCUCCAUAUUAUUAAAAAUCUCCACUGCCACCAUCUCUCUGGCCUCCUCCAGCAUAUGCCUAUAAGUAACAAUUUCCUUCAUUACCUUCACCACUUCCUCCAUAUAUUACUACAAGACUUCACUUCCACAAUUCCCACCAUCACAUCCUCCAGCAUAUGUAACAUUACGUCUACAAAUCACCCCUGCCACCCGUGUAUUAGGCUAGGAGUUAAAGCUAUUUGAAUUUAUCCAUUAAAUAAGAUUCAACAUUGUUGCAGUUUAUUAGCGAGCAUUCGUUAAUAAUAUAUGGUCUGCGCUAUAGCAAGAGCCAUGCAUGUUAUGGAUGUGCCCAUAUGUUGUACUAUUAUAUAUAUAUGUAUCAGUGAGUGUUAAUUCAUAAUUAACUUUGUUUUAAUUUCUUUUAUCAAAUUUCACAGUGUCAUAUUUUGUUAUUGGUUGGUGUUAGGUUUCCAUUUCCUUCUCUGUAUAAGUUCAUAUACUCUUCGAAAUAAAGAUUUUUAUUUGAUCAAAUCCGAUGUCUCCAAAAGGGUUGUCUCUUUGUAUACUCUCAGAAAUACCUUUAUUUAUCAGUACAUGUUUAGACUCUUUCUGUAGUUAAGUGUUUAAUUUUUUAAAAAAUACAUUUUUAUGAAUAAAUUACAUUAGCGACCUAUAUAUAUGUUUUAUAUGUAUUACUUAUACCCCUGUUUGUAAUGUCAUUAACAAUCCUACCGUUAACUAGGAAUAUCAGGCGCAAUCCGCAUAAAAUACGUGCGUGCGAGUUUAAUUUACUCAAUAAAUUAUUAUAUUAAUAAUUCAUUAAAUACUAUAUAAAAUUAAUUAAAACAUUUCAUUAAAAUUAAAUGCUAUAUUAAUAAAAUUAAAUAAAUACUAUCUUAAUACGCUUGUUAUCACAAUUUCAUUAAAAUUGAAAUUCAGCUUAUAAUUAUACUUUUGAGCUUUAAUUCAACUUAUAAGAGUUCAACCUUUUAUUAUAUAUUGAGUAGACUUCAGGGUUAUAUUCGUAAAUGAGAGAUCUAGUAUAUAUUCAUAUGAACUAAAAACAGUGAGGUGUAUGUUUAAUUUAGAUGCAUGUAAUUUUUUUUUAUCAUGAUAAUAUUGGUCUUAAAGUACCUAUUAAUAAAUCUAGUUGUCAUUUUUAAUGGAAUUUUCAAGAAAUUUUUAUAUUUUUUUUAUCUAUAAGAUUUGAACUUGAGAUUUUACUCAAAAAAAACUGAGUCCAGUAUUAGCAACGACUUAUUUAUUUACAUGUAUGUAAUUUGUGAUGAUAAUAAAAAUAUACUAUGUAUCUUAUUUUAAUAAAAAUUACUGUGUAGAAGGCAUACUUUCUAUAUCUGCUCAUAGAGACAAUCGAUGUGAAAGUUUUACACACUUUAACACACCUUCUGUAUCUGUUUAUCGCAAAACCGAUGCAGGGCGUAAUUGUGAAAAUAAUAGAGAGCAAAGUAUUUAAUUAGAGAUUUCAAUAGAUGCAAAUGUUAAGACCUAACAUGUCUUGUUUGCCUAGGAUGUAUAAAUUUUUGGAUUUUUCUUUAUCAAUUAGGUGAAUUUAUCCUACCCACAUGUGUUACACUACUUGCCCCUGAUGCCUCACGAUGACAAGCAUAUUUUACUUACCUAUUUUCCAAAUGUCUUUGCAAAGAUUCAAUAGAUAAAAUGCAUGAAACCUUGAUUCUAGAUGUGUGCUUUAAUGCAUGGGCAUAACAUUAUCAUCCUAUGUCUAGCAAUGGUUUCAUUAUAAUAUCUUUUCCUUUUAGUUCUAUUAGAAGUUAUCCUCUGUCAAGCGCCUAACCUCUAAAACUAAUGCAUGCAUAUCUUCUUUAUAUUUUUAUUAAAAGUAAUUCUCUGUCGAGUAUCUAACCCCUAACAUAAUGUAAAGAUGAGUAAUACAUGAAAUAUAAAUAGAAAAAGAUAAUAGGAUAGAAAACACCUGUUGCAUUGAUAAAUAUGGAAUACAUCGUACAUCUCUUUGACUUUUUAGGCCUGUCAAGCCCUAACUAGGGGUUUAGUCUCUUAUAGUCAUGAGGACCUUACACUAAGAUGGAGAUAUAAGAAUUUGUGGAGGAGAAGGGAUGGAAGAAGGGAAUAAGAAAAUGAUGAGAGAGGAAAGAAUUCUCUAAGGAAGAGUUCUCAGGCUUUGGGUAUGUAUGAGAGUGCUGACUUGGUGCGUUCUUUCCCUUUGACUCUCUUUUUAUAGUUGUUGAGGUGAACUUGAGCCUUGCGUACUCGCGUUUAACACACUCUGCUCGCUUAGCGCAUGUGCCUAUUUUUGCACUUAGUGCGCUCUGCUUGCUUAGCGCAGGUACCCGUUUUUGCGCUUAGCACGCGCUGAGCGCAUCUUGGGCUAGGCGUAAUGCUAAAAUCUUCAUCUUUUUUCGCAUUUCCUGCAUCUUUUUGCUUUUAGUCCCUCCAAUUUUUAUAUAUGCAAGUCGUGAACAGAAAAACACCAAUUCUUAACAAUUAAGUAUGAAUAACUGUUAAAUAAUUGUUUUUAAAGAUAUUUUAACUCUAUUUUCAUAAAAAAAAUAACUCUUAUUUAGCAGUUAUCAAUGAUAAAUUACAACUUAACAAUUUACAUCAAAAAGACAAACAAAGUCUUGAAUAAGAGAAAAUAUGAGAUAAUUGUCUAAAUUCACAUGUCUCAGUUAAAUAUAUAUUUUUGACAAUUAUCAUACGGUGGUACCAAAUUAAAAAAAAAAAAGAAAAGGAAAAGACGUUCUUCGAUAGUUUUUAACUUUCCAGUUCAUCAUAGAAAAAAAGUGGGUUCAAUUACUUUGAUUCUAGUAUAAGAAGCUAAUUGUAUGUAUAUAGACUGUCAAGAGAAAAAAACUUAUAAGUUUCCAGUCUUUCAGAAAAUUUACUUCAAGAUAUCUGUUGAUAUUUUCUACAUGUAUUAUCUUUAUAGCUAUUUAUCAAAUUAAAAAAGACCAGCAUAACGGAGUCCCUUAAAUAUUCAAAUUAAUACCAGACUAUAAACUGAGAUAUUCUUGGGAAAUUAAAAACAAAGUUAUAUUUAACGAAGACUAUAAGACUAUACCGACGUACGACGACAACUGAAAAUAUAGUUAUAAUAAAGAUGAUGGUGAGAUAUUGUGAAGAAUGUAUCAAGUAACUAAGUAAAAUUGGGGACAUAUUUUCCUAUGGCAAAGUAACAACGUUUUAGAAGAUGUAUUCAGUUUGUUGAUUAAAAUACUAUGCCUUUCUAGAACGAUUAUUCUCCUUCGUCAAUCAAGCCACACCUUUACCCGUUACCUUCAACAAAGUAUGGGAAAUAUAUAUCUGAAUAUCCCAUUCAUAAGCCUAGUCGAAACACCGAUAUACCCCUUUUUAAUUUCUGGCGCAUACUGAUUUUUCCAUUUAUGUAGGAUACUUUCAUAAUGCAAUAAGGGGAGCAGACUGCGUUGAAACCUGCAGUUAUAUAUGUUCCUAAUUAUGCACACUUCUAUGGAGAAACAACUCUAAUUGAAAUCAUUCACCUGCAAUAUAUCACAUAUGUAUCAAUACAUUGACAAUCAUUUUCUGAUUAACCAAGUGUGAUGAAUGAUGAAUGUACAAAACUACAAUAAUGAAUUCUCAAUAUUGUAAGGUGAAAUUAAAAGAGCCUACCGCUAAACUUGUUCUGCAAUAAUGUGAUUCGAAUAAAAUGUGUUAGAAAGAUUACCGGAGGGACUAAAUUAAUAAUUUUGAAAUUAAAAAUUGAGUAUUUAUAUUUUAUAUUGUCAUUUAAUCAUAAAUUAUCAGAAUUAUUUUAAGAUACUUAUUUUAAAAAUUAAUAAAUUUAAUGAUGGAUGGUAACUUAAUGACUAUGUAAUUUGAUGCAUAAUCCUUUUUUUCUUAAAAAUUAGGAGAAAUUAAGAGAAUAAUAACCAAGGGAGAGUUAUCUGGUUGGUUGAGAGACUAAUUGAAUGAAAAUGAAACAUGCAUAUUAGUUAGGCAAAGUUUUUUUUUAUAGUCAUACAAUGUCAAAUCAGAAGAAAAACACCCAGAAUAAUAUUGCAACUUCAACACAAAAUAAAUAAAGAAAUAAAUAACAUUACAACAAAUCUUUCCACCGUCGAUCUGCAUUUACACACCUGGAAUUUCUUAUUAACAAAAAAAUUGUACGAGCUUUCAAAUUAAACUCGAUCACGAAUCCAUUUACUGCUGUCUGCUGCCUGCAGUAGCAUAAAAAAAAAAUAUCUGGUACAGGGAGAGCACUAGUGGAAUUGAUCAAAGUUAGAAAAACUUCAGAUGGUGAAAAAAUUAAGCAAGGCAAAAGGAGUACAUACGUGUUAUAUUAUUGGUUAAAACAAUUGAUAUAUAUAGUCCUACGGGCAUAGAAAGUAAUUAUACCAAGUCAAUUUUUUUUUUCAAGCCACGAUGAGAAUUUUCUACAGUAUUAUUAUAAUUCGUCAAGUAUGUUAGUUAGCCUAUGGAGAAAAGGAUGUCGUAUAUAAGUUGAAUCAGUUCUCACCGACGAUACAUAAAAUAACCAUAAAGACAAGAUUAUGUUUUAACCAAUAAUAUGGCGAUUAGGAAUAAAGAACCAAAGCUAAUAAUAAAGAUAAGACAUUUUAAAGAAUUCGGGCAAGUUUUACAUUUGACUUUAUCAGCAAUUUCACACUUAAGGCUCUCGCGAUCAUAAUGCCAGUUAUCCACAAAAAGGCAAAGGAAAUAAUCAGAAUUGUCUAUACUAAACAUGACGCGCUUGAAAAUUAUUUGUUUAAACCUAACAAAAACUCAUUCAGCCGUACCAUCACCAACUCUCUUCUUGACUUUGUUAACAGCCCCCGUGUUGUGGAAAAUACGAAAUCGUUUAUUGGAAAACCACAACAUCAAGUUGAAAUGUUAAAAUAAUGUAAUCAUAUUUUGAAACUUUAAGCCAGACUGUCACCUAACAAAGAUAUCUUAUCGAUCAGCCAUCAUUGAAGGCAAACACUAUAUAAAGGCUUGCAAUCCAUACUUUGCCAAGCAAGAAACUAAUAGAUCAUAAUAAGUCUUCUAAAGGACGAGAGAACAAGGGCUGCAAACUCAGAUAGAGAAGAUGGGGAAACAGGCAAUGGCCUCCAUUGGUCAUUGCAUUAACAUUUUGUCUAAUGGCUAUCAGUGUUGGCGCUGAUGAUAAGCCUUACUAUGGCCAACCAUCCAACUACUAUCCACACCCCACACCAACACCAUAUCACCAAGCAAACGGUCCACCUUACUAUUACAACUCACCUCCAUAUUACUACAAAUCUCCACCUCCACCCUCUCCAUCACCACCACCUCCUUAUAUCUACCACUCACCUCCACCAUAUUAUUACAAGUCGCCACCUCCUCCAUAUUAUUAUAAGUCAUCACUACAUCCAUCAUCUUCGCCUCCUCCAUCCUAUAUUUACAAGUCUCCACCUCCACCAUCUCCUUCACCACCUCCUCCAUAUGUUUAUAACUCUCCUCCUCCUCCAUCACCUUCACCACCUCCACCUUACGUCUACAAGUCACCACCCCUACCAUUACUUUCACCACCUCCACCAUAUGUUUACAAGUCCCCCUGACACCAUCUUCAUCUCCAUCACCUCCGUAUGUUUAUAAAUCCCCUCUUCCACCAUCUCCCUCACCUCUCCCUCCAUAUGUCUACAAAUCUUCAUGCUAACUCGUUGACAAGUGCACUAGUUUUUACAAGUAGUAAAAUACUCGAAAGUCUAAAUGUCGAAAUCACAUGAACUUUGUUUGUAUUUAGAUUGAUACAAACCCAAUUUGCAAGGCAGAGAUAAGAAAUUUAAAAUAAAAAUGAGAAAUAAGAUACAAAUUUAAAGAUAAAAAUAAAAGAUUGAAAAAAGAUUUAGAUUAAAAGAUGAUAAGGAUAAAGAUAAAAAAAGAUAAGAUAAGAAAAGUAAAAGAUGAAAAAAAAACAAAAGAUUAAGAUGAAGAUAAAAAAAGAUAAAUUCAGAAUGUGAUAAUGUUGUGACCUAGCCGAUCUUAUUUGUCUAAUAUGUACUAUUUUAGAUUUUUUUCUAUCAAUUUGGUGAAUUUUUUCCUACCCAAAAUUGUUAGAAUACUUGUCCCUGAUGUCUAUUUAUAUCCUAAAUGGAUUUGCAAAGACUAAUGUAUGAAGUUCUAAUUCUAGAUGUUUGUUUUGAUGCAUGAGCAUAAUGCAAUCACUUUGUCCCUGAAGAUUUUUGACGUCUGGCCUAAGUUCACUUCACCACCUCCUUAUUACUAUAAGUCACCACCACCUCCAUCACCUUCACCGCCUCCUCCAUAAUAAUAGAAAUCCCCACCUCCAUCAUCACAUUCGCCUCCUCCACCAUAUCACCCCACCUCUAUAACUCACCCUCACCUCCUGUGUAUUAUGCUUGUGGCUAGAUCAAUUUAAAUUUUUUAAUAAAUUAUGUUCAUCAUUGUUGAGUUUAAUUUAAUUAUAAUUACAAAAAUUUAUUCAGAAUAAGGUCUACUCUGAAGUAAGCCUUAUUUUGGCUGUAGUGUAGCCCAUGAGUGUGUAUUGGUGUUAACUCAAAAGUGCGUAUUAAUCUCUUUUUCAUAUAUACAUUAUAUAUUAUAUUUCCUUUUUAGUUGGUGCUGGUUUCCAUUUUCUUUGCGUUAUGAAAUUACAUGUUUCAAUUUUAUUAUCUUUUCUUCAAUGAACUAAAAGUUAAUAUUACUAUUUUUGAGCUAUACGAUUCAGUAUUAUCCAAAUAUGAUACGCUUUAUGAUCUUAUCUGUGUUAUAUUUGAAUCGCUCCCAUCCCAUUAUUCACGAUUCGGAUUUCGGAGGGAAAGUGUGAACGUAUAGGGAAGUAAUAUGCAUAUGGGCCACGAUGGCUUCACUCAGAAUUCAGAACAGUUUUCUUCCGCGCGAUUAGAAAGUCUUCACAAGUGAGCUGGCUAUCUACACAGCAUGGAGCAACCACCAAGCAAACUUUAAACAUACAGAAGAAUAAGAAUAUGUAGACUGUAGUCUCCCUAUAUGUAUGCUUCUCACUUACAAAGUCAUUAAGUAUCAUUUUAGUCAACAAUGGUCAAAUUUAUAAGGAUGAAACUUAUCUCACAAUAAUAUGCGUUCGAACUUCGAACCUCAUUGUUGAUAUGAGAAUUAUUGAUAAAUAAUCUAUAAAUAUUUUUAUAAACAAACUCAUUAAAGUAUGAUGUAUGUCCUGAUUUAAUGUAUGUUCGAAAUUCAAUUCACCUAAAUUUUUUACUAUAAAAAAACAUCACUUUAAUAAUAAAAAACUAUCGAGUAGCAAAAUGAAAGAUAACUUAAACAACCUGCCUAUGUCUAAUUAAAGUGAACAAUAUGAUAAAAGUAUUAUUUUGGCCAAUGAGAAAGGAGAAGUUAACAUGUGAAACCAAAAGAAAUUCCAACUUGCACUAAUAGCCUUAGGAAUAGUUCAUCACAAAAAAAAAAAAUAUGGAUGAUUUUCUGACCAAGCCGAAAAGAAAAAUAUAUGCAUAUAUGAGUGGAAAGAAAAAAUAUUUUAAAAGUUAGAACGCAGUGGGAGAAAAAUAUUUUAUAAUUUGUUGAGAAUAGUCUCACAUCUGAUAUUUAACAAAUUUGAUAAGUGCUUAUAUGACUGGGUAGGACCCUUUAUGAACCGAUUUUUAAGGGGACCUUUCGAAUGUCUUUAUUGCACUAUAAAUUUAAUAUAAUUUUCCUGUGUUUCAGAAAAAUUAUUUAAGAUCUUUUAACAUUUUCAGCGUGUAAAAUAUGUUUAUAUAGUUAUUUAAAGAAUGUCUGACAUAAUCAACAAAUAUUCUAAUUGACGGAGUAGUCCCUUAAGUUGAUGUCAACUAAAAACUUAAGAUAUACUCUUGGAUAGUAGUUAUUUAGCAAAGAGUAUAACCGACGUGGGAGAAAUAAUAAUUAAAGAAGAUGGAGGUGAGAUAUCGAUAAUGUUGCAAUUAAGUAAUAAUUAACUUGGUAAAAUUAAUGGGGAUAAAAAUUACUAUGACAAGUAACAGCGUAUAGAAGACAUAUAUGUUGAUUAAAAUAUAUGCCUUCUAAAUUCUAAUUAGGACGAUUAUUCUUCCCCAUUAGGCAAUACUAUUAAUUACCUUAUUUUAAGUUUUAAGUAAGAAAAAUAUCUGAAUAUAUUAAUCUACUUUUUUAUUUUCUGGUGCAUACAUACUGGUAGAUCUUUCCGUAGUUUAUGUAGGAUACUUUUGUACAUUUUUACGACUGGAAGCUUGCACCAUAUAUAAUUAAGUAACUCUUGAUCCGAAGUUUAUUGCCAGAGACGGUUAAUUUUUAUCCAGUUAUUUCAAACUUGGAAAGACAUAAAAGUAAAUGGAAGAUGCAUUGCCCCUUCCCACAUAAUUUCAUUUCGUGUUCAAACCCGUGGCACAAUAUUGCUGCUAUAUAUAUAAUUAACCCAAGCAGCGAUAGGUUGAUCUUUGAUAAAACCCUAAGGCUACCUAGUAUAGUUUUAAUUUUCUGCUAAUAUAAUUUCACGUCCCUUCCAAUUUUCUCGUUAGGCUAGAAACAUGUGAAAAUUAAAGGAAAAAUUUAACCAUUCUAUCCAUCUCAUAAUGUUAUAUAUAUAAGUGGAGCAAUUUUUGCGUUGAGGUCAUGUGCAGUUCAAUGACAAGUAUAAAUCUAUCCCAUUCUUAUUGAUCUGCGCCUAACCAAACUUCUAUGGAGAAACAACUGUAAUUAACAUCAACCCUGGAAGAUAUCAUAUGUAUCAAUAUAUACCUAUAUAGGACAAUCAAUUUCCAAUUAACAAAUAUAGUGUCAUGAAUUGAUAAUAAUGAAAUCUAGAUGUAACGUAAGGUGAAAAUUAAAGAAGUCAUGUCCGCUGAAAUUGGAAUGCACUAAUGUAAUAUGAAUUAAAUGGGCAGUAAUAGAAAAUUACAAGCAUGGUUAAUUUAAUGAAUUUGAUAAAAUUGGGAGAGAAAAAAAUAACAAAAAGGAGGUUAUCAGGUAGUUAAAGAGACUAAUCAAAUUAAAGAGAGACAUGAAUUCAACAAGCAAGCAACGACGUGCUGAUCGAAGUAUUUUUAUAGUCUUUUUGUAUCAAUCAAAUCAAAUACAAUACAUUGCACAAUACAUAUUAAAUAAUAUUUUUUUUAGGAGAAUAUUGAAUAGUAUUACACGUUCAACAUAAAAAUAAAGAAAUAAAUAACAUUACAACAUGUCUUUCCACAAUCAAUCUACAUUUCGACACCAAGAAUUUUUUAUUUACAAAAUAUUACACGAGCUUUCAAACACGCAAAAAUCCAUUUACUGCUCUAUAGCUAGCAUAAAAAAGAUUAGUUGCAGGGUGGAAUUGAUCAAAGAGUCUAUUAGAACAAACUUCUCUGGUGGCCUAAAAAAGGCAAAACGUAUACACACGUGAUAUUGAUUAAAACAAUUAACGUAGGUGUACUCGCAUAGAAAGUAAUUAUAUAUACCAUGUCAAAAAUUAAAAUUAUGAAGUCACAAGAACGAGAAUUUUCUAGAGUGUUAUCAAGAUUAUGUUAGUUUAGACUAUUGACAAGGAUGCCUUAUAACCUGAAGAAGUUUUCACCGACGACAUAAGGAUAAAAUAGCUAUAAAGAUAACUUUAUGUUUUUGUAAUCUGAAAAUAUAGCCAUUAGGAAGAAAGAACAAAAGCUAAUUAUAAAGAAAAGACAUAUUAGAGAAUUGGAGCAAGUUUUGCAUUUGACUUUUAUAAGCCGUUUCACACUUUAGGCUUGCGAUCAUGAUGGCCAGUUCUCCGUGAAAUGGCAGAGGAAAUAAUCAGAUUUGACUGCUAUGACGCGGUUUUCAAUUAUUUGUUUAUAUCAAACAAGAACUCUUCAUUCAGCCAUGCCAUCCACUACUCUCUUCUUGACUUUGUAGUUUGUACCCAGCCCGCAUCGUGGAAAAUAUGAAAUCGUUUAAUGCUAAACCACAACAUAUAUCAAGUUGAAAUAAUAUAAAUAUAUUUUCAAACUUUAAGCCACUCUGUCAUCUAACAACAAUGAUAUCUUAUCGACCAUAUGAUUGAAAGCAAACACUAUAUAAAGGAUUACAAUCCAUACUUUGCAAAGCAAUAAAUUAAUAGAUCAUAGUAAGUCUUCUAAAGAACGAUCAUACAAAAGAGCUUCAUACUAAGUGAAGAUGGGAACGAGGCAAUGGCCUCGACUGAUCCUUGCAUUGGCAUUUUGCCUAAUAGCUAUGAGUGUUGGUGCUGAUUAUAAGCCUUACUAUGGCCAACCGUCUAACUACUAUCCACGCCCCCCACCACCACCAUAUCAGCAAGUAAAUCCACCCUACUAUCACAAGUCACCUCCAUAUUAUUAUAAAUCUCCACCUCCACCCUCUCCAUCACCACCACCUCCUUAUGUCUACAAAUUCCCUCCAUACCAUUACAAGUCUCCUCCACCACCAUCUUCUUCACCUCCUCCACCCUAUGUCUAUAAAUCACCACCACCCCCACCCCCUUCACCACCUCCUCCAUAUGUUUAUAAGUCUCCCCCUCCACCUUCUCCAUCACCUCCUCCUGCCUAUGUUUACAAGUCCCCACCUCCACCUUCUCCUUCACCUCCUCCACCAUAUGUGUAUAUGUCUCCUCCUCCUCUUUCCCCUUCUCCUCUCCCACCAUAUGUUUACAAGUCUCCUCCCCCGCCAUCACCUUCACCACCUCCACCUUAUGCUUACAAGUCUCCACCACCCCCAUCACCUUCACCACCUCCACCUUAUAUUUACAAGUCACCACCCCCACCAUCUCCAUCUCCACCACCUCCAUAUAUUUAUAAGUCACCACCUCCACCGUCCCCUUCUCCUCCUCCACCUCCUUCUCCAUCCCCACCACCUCCAUCUCCAUCACCUCCUCCACCAUAUGUUUACAAGUCUCCACCACCCCCAUCACCUUCACCACCUCCACCUUAUAUUUACAAGUCACCACCUCCACCAUCUCCAUCUCCACCACCUCCAUACGUUUACAAGUCUCCACCACCACCNNNNNN
rnacentral:lncRNA from 1 species